rnacentral:rRNA from 1 species
UAAGGAAUAUUGGUCAAUGGACGCAAGUCUGAACCAGCCAUGCCGCGUGAAGGAUGAAGGUCCUCUGGAUUGUAAACUUCUUUUAUCUGGGACGAAACCCGGGCAUUCUUGCCCGAUUGACGGUACCAGAGGAAUAAGCACCGGCUAACUCCGUGCCAGCAGCCGCGGUAAUACGGAGGGUGCAAGCGUUAUCCGGAUUCACUGGGUUUAAAGGGUGCGUAGGAGGGCAGGGAAGUCAGUGGUGAAAUCUCCGGGCUUAACUCGGAAACUGCCGUUGAUACUCUCUGUCUUGAAUCCCGUGGAGGUGAGCGGAAUAUGUCAUGUAGCGGUGAAAUGCUUAGAUAUGACAUAGAACACCAAUUGCGAAGGCAGCUCGCUACACGAAGAUUGACUCUGAGGCACGAAAGCGUGGGGAUCAAAC